rnacentral:tRNA from 1 species
GCCCAGCUGAACUCCGGUGGUCCGGAGUGUAGGCUUCAAACCUGCAGCUGACUGACGUCAGAGUGGUUCAAUUCCACCUGCUGGGCG